UCCAGAUUGGAGAGGACCAUGGAGAUGUAGAAGAAUUGAUGAUCCCUUCAUCCAACAUUUUAGAAAUUUGGGAUUGGACUUCUUGUUUGUGCACUUCAGGGAAUCUAUAUGAUUUU